rnacentral:misc_RNA from 1 species
UGUUCGAGCGUCAUUAUGACCAAUCAAGCUCUGCUUGGCCUUGGGGCCCGCUGUACCGGCGGCUCCUAAAACCAGUGGCGGUGCGUCUGGCUCUAAGCGUAGUAAUACUCCUCGCUACAGGGUCCAGCCGUCCACCCGCCAGAACCCCCAACUUUCUCAAGGUUGACCUCGGAUCAGGUAGGGAUACCCGCUGAACUUAA